AUGGCGGGGUACGACUUAACUACUUGAAUCACGCACCUUUUGUAUCAGCAUCUAGUCUUUCCGCUCCUUGAGUUUCUCUCUGUAAAAAAGAUAUAUAAUGAAAAGGAAUUAUUACAAGGUAAAUUGGACCUUCUUAGUGAUACCAACAUGGUAGGUUUUGCUAUGGAUGUAUACAAAAACCUUUAUUCUGAUGAUAUUCCUCAUGCUUUGAGAGAGAAAAGAACCACAGUUGUUGCACAACUGAAACAGCUUCAGGCAGAAACAAAACUAAUUGUGAAAAUGUUUGAAGAUCCAGAAACGACAAGGCAAAUGCAGUCAACCAGGGAUGGUAGGAUGCUCUUUGACUGCCUGGCGGACAAGCAUGGUUUUAGGCAGGAAUAUUUACAUACACUCUACAGAUAUGCAAAAUUCCAAUAUGAAUGUGGGAAUUACUCAGGAGCAGCAGAAUAUCUUUAUUUUUUCAGAGUGUUGGUUCCAGCAACAGAUAGAAAUGCUGCAAGUUCACGCUGGGGAAAGCUGGCCUCUGAAAUCUUACAGCAGAAUUGCGAUGCAGACAUGGAAGACCUUACAUGGUUAAAAGAGACCAUAGAUAAUAAUUCUGUGAGUUCUCCACUCCAGUCUCUUCAGCAGAGAGCAUGGCUCAUUCACUGGUCUCUGUUUUUUCUUCAGUCACCCCAAAGGUGUGAUAUUAUUGAUCUCUUCCUUUACCAGUCACAGUAUCUUAAUGCAAUUCAGAUAAUGUGUCCACACAUUCUUCACUAUUUGACUACAGCAGUCAUAACAAACAAGAGUGUUCAAAAACAUUGGCAGGUGCUAAAAGAUCUAGUUAAAGUUACUCAACAGGAGUCUUACACAUAUAAAGACCCAAUUACAGAAUCUGUUGAAUGCUUAUAUGUUAACUUUGAUGGGGAAGAAGCUGAGAGAAUGUGAAUCGGUGCCUUGUGAAUGACUUCUUCUUGGUGGUUUGUCUUAAGAAUUUCAUUGACAUUGCCCAUCUCUUCAUAUUUGACACUUUCUGUCACAUCCACCAGUGUAUCGGCAUUAACAUGUUGGCAGACAAAUUGAACAUGACUCCAGAAGAAACUGAAAGAUAGAUUGUAAAUUUGAUUAGAAAUGCAAGACUAGAUGCCAAGAUUGAUUCUAAAUUAGGUCCUGUGGUUAUGGUAACAAUGCAGUCUCACCCUAUCAGCAAGUGAAUGAAAAGACCAAAAACCUUUCUUUUAGAAGCUAGAUGUUGGCCAUGAAUAUUGAGAAGAAACUUAAUGAGAAUAGUAGGUCAGAGGCUCCUAACUGGGCAACUCAAGAUUCUGGCUUCUACUGAAGAAACAUGAGGAAAAGAU